GCGGACGUUUCUGCUGGUCGCUCCUCCUCUCGGAAAACCUGCCGUCAGUGCUUUAGGGCUGGGGGCUUCCUUGCAGGGGCUGGUUCGUGGCCAGGCGCCCCAGUGGACACGCGGUGUGGCCACUCUCACGGUGUUUUCCUUCGAAGGAAAAGUGCUUCUUGCUUCGAGUAGCACUUGCGACUUUCAGGGGGGUUCGGAGUCUUGGUUUGGUUUCGUUUGGUUUUAUUAGCGUUUCGGAAGCUGUGUGCCUUGUGCAUGAAAACCGUGAAAACCGGCUGCGAGCUGGAGGUCUGUCAUGUAAAAAUCCUCUUAUCUGGAUGGCCUCAGGCUGCAUUCGCAUCCUUGGAAGGGCUUCCUCGCUGGCCCGUGGGGCUCUGGGGCUCUGGGGACCCAGCCUCCUGGGCGCUCACCUCCCCCGGGGGAGCUCCCUGUGGGGGAGCAUCUCCCACCCGAGACCUGGGGGGGUGCAGGUCUUGAGCCCAGGGGUCACCCAGGGUUCGAGUGGCCCAGACGGCCGAUUCCCAGAGCUGGGGUCUGCCCACAGGGCCCGCUGCUCAGACACCUGUGCCAAAGUCUUAGAAAAACAUCUCUGAACGACUGUGGUGCCCCCUGGUUUUAGAAGGUGGGGGGGACGCAUGGUGUCUGCUUGCCCGGCCACAGACGGUCUCAUUCCCUUUGCUGGUGGUGCCGGGCCGUCCAUGUGCACACACGUCUCCAGACCCUGCGCGUCUCAUGGGCUCCCGGGCGCUGUGAUUGGGGCCCAGUGUGUGGCCGCUGGGCCCUCACGAAGGAAGGAGCUGGUUCCCGGCCCAGGGCUUGGGCUCGGAGAACAGACCCUGGAAACGGGCACUGAGGGACUUCGGACGGAGGCUCCAGCACACCUCUGGAGGCCCGGGCUCCCAAGGAGCGCAAAGAUCAUCGGCUGCCAGGUGCAGAGGGAGCCCCCCAACUCCACCCAGCGGUACACACGGUGGCUCAACCAGCUGGAGCCCGGCCAGCUGCUCACCCAGGCGUUCACCUCCCACGGCCCCACGGUGCCCAUGCCCACGUGGUUUUGCUCCCGAGCCUGGUUCUCCCACGUGGGCCCGUUUGACGAGGGCGGCCGGGGUGUCCCGGAGGACCUGCUAUUCUUCUACGAGCACCUGAGGAAGGGCGGCGGGGUCGUCCGCGUGGACCGCAGCCUCCUCAUGUACCGCUACCACCCCGCUGCUGCCACACACGCCGUCCUCGAGACCACCAUCUGGACCCUCCGCGUCCGCUUCCUGGAGGAGCAGGCCCUGCCCCGCUGGGCGACCUUCACCAUCUGGAACGCGGGCCGGCAGGGCCGCCGGCUCUACCGCAGCCUGACGGCGGAGUCACGGCGUAAGGUGGUCGCCUUCUGCGACGUGGACGAGAACAAGAUCCAGAAGGGCUUCUACUGCCACGAGGAGUCUCAGGAAAGGCCCAAGCCCCGGGUCCCAGUCCUGCACUUCCGAGCCGCACGGCCGCCCUUUGUCAUCUGCGUGAAGCUGGUGGCUGUACCACAUCCUAGGACCUGGCGGCUGGCUGGCUGCAGUCCCGACAUGGCGCCUGAAGUUCUCUUGUCUGUCUGCCAGUUUGAACCUGCCUCGUUUACCUGGCACCAUGUUACAAAGUACAGGCUUGGCCUCCAAGAGCACACUCCCCGUGGGUCCGAAGUCCUGGCAGCCCAGCCCUCUGUGCACGUGGACCACGUCUUCUCAAUCCACUCGUCGGUCAGUGGACACAGGCUGCUUCCAUGUCCUGGCUGCUGUGAGCAGUGCUGCAGUGAACACAGGGUGCACGUAUCUUUUUGAACGAUAGUUUCGUUGGGAUGUGCGCCCAGGAGCGGGAUUGCUGGAUCAGGACCUCACGGGCGGCGCGUUUGAAGACAACCUGAGAUCUCUGCAUCUGCGGGAGGGCCGCGACUUCCUUCACUUCAGCUGACGGACCCGCGGCAGCCGCUCCAGGACAGGUGGCGGACGUGCUGAGGCGUCAGAGCUGCGGUGCCACUGAGGUUGAGCCCCGCCCCGACGGGUGACGUGAACAUGGCAGGAAGUGCCAGGCUGGCGCGGCCUCGUGGUGGAGCCGCGUCUGAGUCAGAUGGCGACGGAGCAUCGGGGCGGCUCUGCACACGGGGAGUCUGGGGAGGCCCUCCCAGGCACAGGGGCUGUUCCGAGGCCACAGGGCUCCGGCGCCUUCGAAGUGCACGUGUGUUUUAACGGUGCUGCCCCUUCCCAUUAAAAGUUCCUCUGUGCGCUCACACA